CCUACGGGUGGCUGCAGUGAGGAAUAUUGGACAAUGGGCGCGAGCCUGAACCAGCCAAGUCGCGUGAAGGAUGACUGCCCUACGGGUUGUAAACUUUUUUUAUAAAGGAAUAAAGUGAGGCACGUGUGCCUUUUUGUAUGUACUUUAUGAAUAAGGAUGGGCUAACUUCGUGCCAGCAGCCGCGGUAAUUCGGAGGAUCCGAGCGUUAUCCGGAUUUAUUGGGUUUAAAGGGAGCGUAGAUGGGUUGUUAAGUCAGUUGUGAAAGUUUGCUGCCCAACCGUAAAAUUGCAAUUGAUACUGGCUGUCUUGAGUAAAGUUGAGGUAGGCGGAAUUCGUGGUGUAGCGGUGAAAUGCUUAGAUAUCACGAAGAACUCCGAUUGCGAAGGCAGCCUACUAAACUGCCACUGACAUUGAUGCUCGAAAGUGUGGGUAUCAAACAGGAUUAGAUACCCCAGUAGUC
rnacentral:rRNA from 1 species